rnacentral:rRNA from 1 species
GACGAACGCUGGCGGCGUGCCUAAUACAUGCAAGUAGAACGCACAGUUUAUACCGUAGCUUGCUACACCAUAGACUGUGAGUUGCGAACGGGUGAGUAACGCGUAGGUAACCUGCCUGGUAGCGGGGGAUAACUAUUGGAAACGAUAGCUAAUACCGCAUAAUAUUAAUUAUUGCAUGAUAAUUGAUUGAAAGAUGCAACUGCAUCACUACCAGAUGGACCUGCGUUGUAUUAGCUAGUAGGUGAGGUAACGGCUCACCUAGGCGACGAUACAUAGCCGACCUGCGAGGGUGAUCGGCCACACUGGGACUGAGACACGGCCCAGACUCCUACGGGAGGCAGCAGUAGGGAAUCUUCGGCAAUGGACGAAAGUCUGACCGAGCAACGCCGCGUGAGUGAAGAAGGUUUUCGGAUCGUAAAGCUCUGUUGUAAGAGAAGAACGGGUGUGAGAGUGGAAAGUUCACACUGUGACGGUAUCUUACCAGAAAGGGACGGCUAACUACGUG